GGCUUACAGGGGUGAGCCACUGCACCCGGCCUCUCCCUUUGUAUUCUUCAGCCUCGGGAACUGCAGUUGUUCAACAUGAGGAACAGCGAGUGAGUGCUGGAAAACCGUUGGAGGUGAAAAUGAAGCAGACCCUCGCUGAGUUUAAAGGAGAUCUGACUGACAUUGGGAAGUGGCAUCCAAUAAGAUGCGUGUUUCUUCUGUCCGCUCCAGGAUGUGUCAACAGGAGAACUGAAAGCUGAAGGUGAGAGUGAAGUUUGAUUGAAGGAGAAGAGUUGGUUCAGAAGCUCAGUGAGGUCACUGCUGCUGGGGAGAGGCAGAGGGGCGCACACCAGUCACUGCUGCAAAGGGGGAUGUCUUCGAGGCAAGGGUGCUUUGAAAGGAAAUGGUUUUGAAAAGCUUCUGCUAACCUUACCCACACGCGUGAAUGUCCCAGAGUCACGGCCUCCUGCUUCACUUCGCCCUGGAACGUCAUAUGUGAAUUCUCUUCUGCCUGCAUCAGCCUCUCCACGUGCAGAUCCGUCUCAACAGACCCCUUCAGCCGAUGCCCUCUGUGCCCCCGACACAGCCCCUUGGCCCUUGCCUUCCACACACCCCCUGCACCAGCUUCCUCCUGGCAGCACCUUCCUUUCUGCUUGAGGCUUUCCCAGGCCUCCUGCCUCUGAGAAAGUCAGAAGUUGAAGCCUCCUUGAGAGCCCGUGAGAGCUCCCUCUCCCCUGGGCAAGCGGUGCUGAUGCGUGAUCUCCGAAUCCGUCCACCAAACAGCCACCGCAGGACUGAGCUCCAGCGGCCACCAUGGAGGCAGCAGGAAAGAGAGCGCUGCUGUAUCGGGUGUGCACACCCACAGGAGCACCUGUAAACCAUGAACACACCCACAUGAGCCAGGUUGCUUUGAAUGUGGAAGCUUCCCCUCCCCAGUGUGGGCUCCUGCUCCCCGUCACGCUUAGUCUACCAGACGCUGCAGAGACAACGUUCCGUAAGUGUAUGAGGCUGAACCUCUGCUUCUCAGGCCACUUCCAAUGGGCCUAGAGUUCUUCAGGUGCAGUUCAGCGCUG
rnacentral:lncRNA from 13 species